GCAGUAUUGUUGUGCGUUUUUUGUAUUACAAGUGCAUCUUUAUACGUGUAAAUAUGUUAUGCUUCCAUGGUUCAAAAUUUAUGGGUCUGUCAUUGUUGAUCCACAUACUUUUAAUUUGUUUUUAUAUUUAUCCCCUUUUGGUGUUGCUUCUAGCCUAUUAAGUCUCAUCUUUUUGCAAUAUUAGUUUCUAGAUUUUUAAAUAGGGUUAACGUACAAAAAUGCUAUCAAUGUUUUCUUCCAGGCACACCUCAUAUUUUAAACUAUUUGUUAACACAAUUUCACCCCCCCAUGUAUUUUUUUGAGUACAAUAUUGCCAUACCGUUACCUUUUGAUUGUUUUGACAGUUAUGUUUGAAAUUUUGAUCAUUUUCUACCAUCCUGGAUUGCGACCUCAUGUUCAUAUUUAUGUGAAAAAUGGAAAGCUCCAUGUAGAUGUUUGAAAUUAGUUCCGGUUUCUCCUUCCUCUGCCCUUCAUAAUCCAUUGCUUUGAACCCUUCCCUUCCCCAUCUUCUCCUGCCACUCUCUUCUCCUUCUACAUCUUCUUUGUGUUGAGUUAUGGAGGAAACAAGAGCACAAUAGUGGAUCUUGAUUUGGAUUCCAUGGCUGUGCUGAUGAUGACAACAAGAGAACAUUCCUCCUCCUUCUAUGGCGCUAACGAAGAGAAUGAGAAUAUGUUCCUCUUUGUGUGUCAACUAUGGGUUUCUGGGUUUGAUUUUUUUAUUUUUGCUUGUGUUCGGUUUGGUAUGAGUUUCGUUGGGUUUGAUCAACAUUGGGAUUUUAUUGGGUUCUAAUUUUUCUAAUUUUUUAGAUCGAAGUGACACCAAUGAAAAUCUUGUGUGCAAGAAGCUGAUGCUGACACCAAGCUUUUUGAAGUGGUUUGGCUCUUUUGAUUUCAAGAUCGUGAAAUGCUCCGACUCUCCAUUCAAAAAUCGAUUGUGUAGGCAAAGGGCGAGGCGCGGAAGUUGAAUCAUCGGAAAUUUAUGGGUUUGCAGUGGUUUAUCAAGAUUUGAACCAGAGCACAAGCUUGCUGGCAUCAUUUUUUUUUUUUUUAUGUUCAUGAUCGUUCUUAAUCGUUUCUGGGUUCAAAUCCUAGUCUUGGCUUGAUUGUUUUAGUUUAUCUGUUUCUGGUAUUGGACUUAAAUUCAUAUAUUUGAGUUCUUGUUUCAUUUUAAUUUGGUUUACUGAUCUGGGUUCAUCCAAUUUGGAUUUAAAUAUGCAGUUAUUAAUCUGGGUUCAUUCGAUCCUUAAGGGAAAUGAAAGGGUGAUGACGACAUGGAAUCAAGAAGAGCUGAGGAAUUGAUCUGAUGUGUAUUUGCUUUUUUUUUUUUAAAUUUUAAAUUUUUCAAAUAUGCCAAGGUGGCAAAUAAAGGUUUGACUAAUAGUUAACAUAGUUAAACCCUAACAGUAGGCGACAUUUUAUUUAAAUAAAGAAAAUGUUGGGGUGGAA